GAUAACAACAGUUGUAUUACGAUGAUGUAAAAGUCUCAUGUUCAUACAUCGGACUUUCAGACUUCGGACUUUAGGAAGUAGCUAAUGCUUCUUUGACAGAGCCUGUCUGAUCUGCUGCAGCUGAGCCUCCCCGUGUUCUUCACCAUGCCACUGGUGCUGGAUGCUGUGUGGGCGCUGUGGAGCAUUGGAGCUGGUAUCUAUGACUACUUCCACACCAGUGCCAUGGAGGAGAGGAUCCACACACUGGAGAACGUCCUCUCUAUCCACCAGUUUGUGAUCGCAGGCCUGUCGGCGGGCCUCAUCCUGCUCAUGACCUACAUACUCUGGAGAAAACACUGAAACCCUUCUGACCGCGGCCAGGCUCCCACUACAUGUUGGUUUGAUGCAGGACAUUUCAACGUUACCUAAAGAAUUUUUCAUCCUGAUGUUGUCUGAUGUGGAUUAAGUGAUGCUCACACGUGAAGAUCAAGCAUGUUCAGCAACGACAUAAGGACGUCCCAAAUGAAGUCAGGAGCGCUGAUGGGGAAUUAAAACAAACAAUGCUCCAUAAGGACUAUGAGAACCGGUCCAUUCGGGUCCAUUUGGGUUGCGGGCGCUUGCUUUGUCUAUCCAUCUGUCUGUUGUCUCUGUGUUUCGGAUGUUAAAUCGGCCUUAGAAUUACAAAAUCAUAAAAACUUUGCACUUUCUUGCCAAGCUUGAAGGACUUCACUCUCUGAGAAGAUGUAUUUAUUUAAACACCUUCCCAGCGUGUGAUGAGGGAUUUGGUUAGCGUUACAGAAGUCACUGUGGUUUGCUACUAAGUUUUUGGGUUUUUUUAAACCCAUUAAUACAGGAUCACAUUGUAAUUACCUCAACAUCAACUAUUUUCCCAUGUUUACAAAUUAACAAUGUCAUUUUUUUGUUUUCUUUAGGAUAUCUGUGACUGUAGAUAAGUCCAUCAGUACAUAUUUCAUCUUUUAAGUCCACUGAAGAGUGAGAGAGAAAAUAGUACUAUAGUUAAGUGUCCAACCCAGCUGGAUGCUCUCUGUUUUAAUUACCCCUCACUUUCUUUUUUUUCCUGCCAAUGACUUUAUACAGUACUAGAAUUUCAAAGGUAAACAAGAUAUGGGGGAUCCCAACGGGUGACUGCCAAAAAAAUGGUGUUUCACUCUUAAAGUUGGUGUCGGGUCGUGAUGUUGCAGGGAUUUGGCAGUGCUUCGAUGGGAAUGGACUGAUUUUGGUAUGUCUGUCAUGUUACAUGUGAAUGUAUGUAUGCUGUCAGCUGCUUUGGUCUGUGAUGAUCCUGGUUUCAGUGAAACACUUGGAACUACAGAAUAAGAUCAUUUCAGAAGUCCAAACACUGGGAAAUGAAUUCAUCCUUUAGGUGAUUUUUUUCUUUUCAUCCUAAGGAGAAGACGUGAAGGUUAGUUUUAGUGUUUAGUGUUGUCUAUUGUCCUUUGUGUUUUCAGUUGUCCAUGUUUACCAACACUGUUUCCAGUCUGUCAAAUUUUCUUACCAAGUGUUUUUAAAAAACGGUCUAAUGAUUAAAAAGCCUGUCGUUCACUUUCACCAUUGCUUACUUUUUGGGCUUCAUUGCCAGUGUGCUGUAUGCACUACUGUGUGUUACUCUGACAAACCAUUACCAUGGUUACUGAUAAAGGGAAUAUGUUUGAAUAAUAAAUUAUAACUUCAGUCCAA